GACAGAGGGUGCAAACGUUGUUCGGAAUUACUGGGCGUAAAGCGCGUGUAGGCGGCCCUGCAAGUCGGAUGUGAAAUCCCACGGCUCAACCGUGGAAGUGCAUUCGAAACUGCAGGGCUAGAGUCCUGGAGAGGAAGGUGGAAUGCUUGGUGUAGAGGUGAAAUUCGUAGAUAUCGGGAGGAACACCGGUGGCGAAGGCGGCGACCUGGGUUGACAUUGACGCUGAGGCGCGAAAGCGUGGGGAGCAAACAGG
rnacentral:rRNA from 1 species